GAAGAACUCGAUCCCCCUUCAAUAUUCUCAACUAUAUAUAUAUAAAUUGCUCUCUUCAAGCUUGACUUCGAAGAGCAAUUGAAGAUGAGUCUUUCAGUGGCGCAGGGGUUUACGAAGUCUCUGGCGAUGACUGUGCUAUCUGAGAUCGGAGACAAGACUUUCUUCGCCGCUGCGAUCUUGGCGAUGCGUCAUCCUAGGAGGCUCGUCUUGUCAGGCUGCCUUGGGGCUCUAAUUGUAAUGACCAUUCUGUCUGCCGUUGUUGGUUGGGCUGCUCCCAAUUUGGUGUCCCGCAAAUGGACCCAUCAUAUUACAACACUGUUGUUCUUGGGAUUUGGAGUAUGGUCUUUGUGGGAUGCAUUCCAUGAUGGGGAAGCUGAGGAUUUGGAUGAAGUUGAAGCCCAGCUGGAUGCUGAUCUAAAAGCUAAUGGUGGAGCAACCAAGGAGAAGAAUCAGGAUUCUGAUGAUUUAAAGAAGCAGAGGCAGCCUCUUCUCGCUCAAUUCUUCUCACCCAUCCUUCUGAAGGCAUUUUCAAUUACCUUCUUUGGUGAAUGGGGUGACAAG
rnacentral:misc_RNA from 1 species